ensembl:lincRNA 1700092C17Rik RIKEN cDNA 1700092C17 gene
AUGACUUCCGUCGCCUCCUCUGUCAUAUUUGUCACAUCUGUUCGUCAUUGGUUUCCAUUGUGCUCAUCAUCAUCAUGGGUUUUCUCCCCUCUGCCAUCAAGGAACCCCAGAUUAGGUCUCUGAAAAUCCUUCUGGUUAUUCGUGGUCUCAAGGUUAAGACUCACGACCUGGACCAAUUUUUGGAGGAGACUGCUAUAUUGGCUCCCUGGAUAUCCCCAGAGAACAUGUGGGACCCUGACCUCUGGAUGUGUGUUCUCUUCCUUGCCUAA